CGGCCCCUGCGAUGCGCGUGAUGGUUUGUGAGAUUUGAGUCAACACUUAUGAAUCGGGAGCCUGAGUCCGGACGUCAUGAGUUUCUCCGGGAUCGGUGAAACCUGAGGCCGACGGCAGGGCACCCACCUGUUUUCAACAGGUUCAAUCUCACGUUCCACACGGCAGAGCGGGGGUGAU
rnacentral:other from 1 species